rnacentral:rRNA from 1 species
CUUGGUCAUUUAGAGGAAGUAAAAGUCGUAACAAGGUCUCCGUAGGUGAACCUGCGGAGGGAUCAUUACCGAGUUCAUGCCCUGACGGGUAGACCUCCCACCCUAUGUUAUAUUACCUUUGUUGCUUUGGCGGGCCGCCCGGCUUCGGCCAGGCUACCGGCUCCAGCUGGUAAGCGCUCGCCAGAGGACCCCCAACUCUGAAUAUCAGUGUCGUCCGAGUACUAUAAAAUAGUUAAAACUUUCAACAACGGAUCUCUUGGUUCUGGCAUCGAUGAAGAACGCAGCGAAAUGCGAUAAGUAAUGUGAAUUGCAGAAUUCAGUGAAUCAUCGAAUCUUUGAACGCACAUUGCGCCCCUUGGUAUCCCGAGGGGCAUGCCUGUUCGAGCGUCAUUUCACCAUUCAAGCCUGGCUUGGUGUUGGGCGACGUCCCCUUCGGGGACACGCUUUGAAACGCUCGGCGGCGUGGCAUCGGCUUUAAGCGUAGCAGAAUCUUUCGCUUUGAAAGUCGGGGCCCCGUCUGCCGGAAGACCUACUCAAGGUUGACCUCGGAUCAGGUAGGGAUACCCGCUGAACUUAAGCAUAUCAAUAAGCGGAGGA